rnacentral:rRNA from 1 species
AUGUUGUUGUGGUCCAAAUGCAGCUCCUGCAAUUUCUUCAGAUCACCUAUAGACUCUGGAAUAUUGCCGAUGAACUCAUUCCCCCCAAGAUCAAGGGUGACCAGAUUUAUGAGCUUGCUGAUGCCAUUGAGAUCUCCUUCUAACCAAUUGCUAUGUAAAGAGAGGUGCUCUAACGAGCUAACAUUGAAAAGCUCAUCUGGAAGAUAUCCACUGAGAUUGUUGUAG